rnacentral:rRNA from 1 species
AACGAACGCUGGCGGCAUGCCUAACACAUGCAAGUCGAACGAGACCUUCGGGUCUAGUGGCGCACGUGUGCGUAACGCGUGGGAACCUGCCCUUAGGUUCGGAAUAACUCCCCGAAAGGGGUGCUAAUACCGGAUAAUGUCUUCGGACCAAAGAUUUAUCGCCUUGGGAUGGGCCCGCGUUGGAUUAGCUAGUUGGUAGGGUAAACGCCUACCAAGGCGACGAUCCAUAGCUGGUCUGAGAGGAUGAUCAGCGACACUGGUACUGAGACACGGCCCAGACUCCUACGGGAGGCAGCCGUGGGGAAUAUUGGACAAUGGGCGAAAGCCUGAUCCAGCAAUGCCGCGUGCGUGAAGAAGGCCUUAGGGUUGUAAAGCUCUUUUACCUGUGAUGAUAAUGACAGUACCGGGAGAAUAAGCUCCGGCUAACUCCGUG